rnacentral:rRNA from 1 species
GGGGGGGGGGGGCGGGGGGCUGGGGGGGGGCGCGUCGGGCGGGGGGGCGGGGGGCUUGGGGGGUGCUGGGGUGGCGCGGGGGUGGGUGGCGCGUGAGUGACCUGCCCUUGUCUUUGGGGUCGCUUCCGGAGCCUGGGGCUCAUCCCGGAUAGUAGCUCCUGCUGCGUGGUGGUGGUUGGCACGUUUCGGCGGUGGGGGCUGGACUCGCGGGUUAUCCGCUUGGUGGUGGGGUAGGUGCUUACCAAGGCUGUGACGGCUAGCCGGCCUGCGAGGGUUACCGGCCACAAGGGGACUGAGAGACGGCCCAGAAUGCUACGGGAGGCAGCAGGGGGGAAUAUGGCACAAUGGGCGGAAGCCUGAGGCAGCGACGCCGCGUGCGGGAUGACGGCCUUCGGGUGGUAAACCGCUGUCGCCGGUGACGAAGCGUGAGUGACGGUAAUGGGUAAAGAAGCACCGGCUAACUACGUG